rnacentral:rRNA from 1 species
UACGAAGGGGGCUAGCGUUGUUCGGAAUUACUGGGCGUAAAGCGCACGUAGGCUGAUAGUUAAGUGAGGGGUGAAAUCCCGAGGCUCAACCUCGGAACUGCCUUUCAUACUGGCUGUCUAGAGUCCGGAAGAGGUUAGUGGAAUUCCUAGUGUAGAGGUGAAAUGCGUAGAUAUGAGGAAGAACACCAGUGGCGAAGGCGGCUAACUGGUCCGGUACUGACGCUGAGGUGCGAAAGCGUGGGGAGCAAACAGG